GUAUCUCCAGCCUGGCAACACUAAGUGAAAUAUUUAAAUGCACAUGUUUAUUUUAGAAAUUGGUCAAUUACGGGAUGAAUAGUAAUGUUAUAAAAUUGUAGAAUUUUAUUAUAUUUUUCUCAGAUCGGUAGUCUUCAGCUGGCAAUUUUAGAAUUUUAAAGGAAAAAACUCUUCAUACUUUUAAUAUUAGUCUUUAAAUAAAUAUGUCCUCGUUUAAUUAUAAUGACGAUGAUCGGUAAUCAUUGCAUAAAUUGAAAAAAAUGCUUCAGAUUUUUUCGUAUUUCUAAUAUAUAAAGUGAUCAAAGAAUAGAAAAAUAAAUAAAAAAUGGUUGGACUUGAUGAAAACAGUACAGAUGCAGUUAAAAAAGUUUUAUUAGAUUGUCCACUUUGUGGUCAAGAUUUUCAAACAUUUGAGGCUCGUUGCAGUCAUUUAAAAAGUUGUGGUAUUAAAUUCAAUUUAAGUACUGCCCAGCUUCUCAGUGCAGUUCGUUUACAAGAAAAAUAUGUCAAUGAGCGGUUGGCAGCUGGUCUCCCAAAUGUUGUGAAAUCCAGAUUAACAAAACCGAAAACUUCAAAGAAACAACUCCUUCUAAAGAAGAGACCCAAAAGUAAAGCAGAAGAAGAUCUUCAGAUAGGUUUAGCCUUGUCGGAAUCAUUGAAAGAAAGUGAAAAAAAAGAAACCGAGAUCUUUGAAGAAUUUUCUGAAAGUUCGUUAUUGUGUAAUUCAAAUGAGCAAUGUAAAAAUUACAAUGAAGAAAAAUUUCAUGUAAUGAAUAUUGAGAGCAAACAUUUGAAAACAAGAAAAAGGAAAAUUAAACAUUCUGGUAUCCCUGCAUUGUUGUUAAGAUCAGAAAAUGAACGGUUAAAAUUAUUACAAGAUAAAAUUUCUUCACAUUUCACAACAGGGAUAGCAGAAUCUUAUGCAAAGAUAGAAGAAAAUAUUAGCAAUUAUGUAAAAUUCAAAGGAAUUUCUAAAUUAACUGUUAAGAUGACACCUUUAUGGAAUAUGUCCAAAAAUGAAAGUAAUGUUUUAGACAAAUUUUAUGUUUUAUCUUUAAAAAGUCUAAUUCCUCCAAGCAAAUCGCAAAUAAAAAGCAAAGAAUUUACAUGUCAGAAUGAGAAUAUUUCUUCUAACAAAUUUCCUACAGUUUCAUCUAAAAUUUUUGAUACGAAUCAUGAAACUAAUCCAGAUGUAGCUGCUGCUUUGAAGUUAGUUUCAGACUUUAAAACUUUAGUUGGUAACGAAGAAGGUAGUGAUGUUAGAAUUAUUGUUGCAAAAAAUAGAAUAAUUGCAGCUCACAGUAUUAUAUUAAAAGUCAGAUGUCCAUCCAUAAUUAAGGAUCUUCAUUGCAACCAAAAUCAGAAAAAAUUUGAAGUAAAUUGGAAUGAUGUUUCAUAUGAAACUGCAUUAGCUUUCUUAGAAGUUAUAUAUUCUGGAAGUUCAAAUAUUGAUGGUAUAAAUACAACACAGUUAAAAGGAUUAAUAAACAGGUAUCAAGUACAAAAUCUAUUUGAAAACUUUGACUUAGAAAGGCAUUUAAAUAUAAACCAGUCAAUGAUUGACAAUGAACGUCAAUUGCAAAAUAUUUUAAAUUCUAUAUGGAAAAUUGACAAUGAUGAUGAUAAAUUUAAAAAUAAUGAAAUAGAUGAUAAUGAAAGUCAAAAUGAUGAAAUGGAUGAUGUGUAUGAAUAUCUAUCUCAAAAACAAGGUAUUGAAGACAGAAAUUUAAGUUUAGCAAGUGAUUCCAAACCUAACUUUUUUGAAACAUCUGCCACAAAUCAAGAAGAAAGCCAGAAAGAUAAAAAAUGUCAUCAUUUUGGCUUGGAAAAACUUGAAAAGACAACAGAACAUUCUCUUAAUAAAACAAUAUUAUUUGAUAAUUCAAUGGAUGAGUAUAAUGAGAAUCUUGACAUGGAAACAGAACAUUCCCUUAAUAAAACAAUAUUAAUUGAUAAUUCAAUGGAAAAGUGCAAUGUUGACGUUUUAAGAACUGAGAAUAAUGAGAUUCAUAUGAUAAAUGAAAAUAAAUCUGAAGAUUUAAAUUUUAGUUUAAAAUUGUCACACAGUUCCAGUGAUGCAUCAGAAGAAUUAUUCACUGAAGAUAUCCAUGAUUUUCAAGAUUCGGAUAGGCAAAGCAAAAUGAGAUCUUAUAUUCAAAAGGAUAAAGAAUUAUAUCAAGAUAUUCUUGAGUAUAAGUUUCAGAACUUCACAAAAAAAUGAAAUCUGCCGGAAUUAAAAUUUCUCUACAGUGCUUAAUGGAUUAUCUUGAUGAAGAGUGUAUUAUUUAUACCCUUCCUAAAGGAA
rnacentral:misc_RNA from 1 species